CUGGGUGAUGUUGAUUUCUAUCCUAAUGGGGGAGACUAUCAGCCUGGGUGUGAGGGAUUAUUGAAAUGUAAUAAAUGAAUGUAUUCUUUUGAAUAUAGCUACAUGCGGCGAACUACAGGAAACAUUAUUGAAGACUGACUAACUCAAAUAUUUUCCUUUUUCGAUUUUCCCAUCCUUGACUAGAACUUUUUCCUGAAACAAAAUUUCUCUCUGGAAAGCAAAAUCCCUUUUUUUGACAAAUUCCACUGCAACAAUAUAAUGUUUCCUAGUUUACAAAACCUGGGGAUAUAGGACUGGUAGAGUAACCUGCCCAGUAACUCCACCACUCUGUACCUAUUUCGAUACAUGCUCGCCAAAUACAGAAAAUCCCUUAUAUUACAACAGAUCUAGAGAAGCUGUUUUUCAAAAGGAAACUACGCAGAAUAAACUGUGCUACCGCGAGAGUUAUGCACGUUCAUACAAAAGAACAACUUCAGAACAAAAAUUUUAUUCUUCAAUUCUCGGAAUUGAAUUGAAUUGAAUUUAAAGUAAAACGUGAUCGUUCAGACAAUGAUAGUUAAAUGUAUGGACGACAGGAUUUGUUACAAGAUUGGUUUCCCGUUAAUUUCAGUACUUCUAAUAUAACCAGCUUGCGGAAAUAUACACAUGUAAUAAUCUAUAACCGAGCUACUGUAACCGAGUAGAGGGAGUGUAUGUUUGAUUUCAAACUGUCUAUACUAUUAUUUUAUGUUUUUGGUUGCCUCUUUAAUUGUGUCUCCAAAAUUUCUAUAUAGCAAUCUGGAAAAGUGGAAUCUUACAUGCAGCGACAUGUCAUCAUAUGAGAGCAGUGGAAUAUUUUACGGCAUCAAUUCAACAAGAGUGUUUGUUCCCGGCGUUUCCAUGCUCCAGCUGGAAGGAAUUUAGGGAGGGGAAAUGUUUCAAUACAUUUCGUGUCAGAGAUAUAUCACUGAUGGGCAUGCAAGCAGAACAAUGUAAGAAACACGAGCAGCCAAUGUAUCUGAC